GGGACACGUGGUAUCCUGUCUGAAUAUGGGGGGACCAUCCUCCAAGGCUAAAUACUCCUGACUGACCGAUAGUGAACCAGUACCGUGAGGGAAAGGCGAAAAGAACCCCGGCGAGGGGAGUGAAAAAGAACCUGAAACCGUGUACGUACAAGCAGUGGGAGCCUCUUAAUGGGGUGACUGCGUACCUUUUGUAUAAUGGGUCAGCGACUUAUAUUCUGUAGCAAGGUUAACCGAAUAGGGGAGCCGAAGGGAAACCGAGUCUUAACUGGGCGUUAAGUUGCAGGGUAUAGACCCGAAACCCGGUGAUCUAGCCAUGGGCAGGUUGAAGGUUGGGUAACACUAACUGGAGGACCGAACCGACUAAUGUUGAAAAAUUAGCGGAUGACUUGUGGCUGGGGGUGAAAGGCCAAUCAAACCGGGAGAUAGCUGGUUCUCCCCGAAAGCUAUUUAGGUAGCGCCUCGUGAAUUCAUCUCCGGGGGUAGAGCACUGUUUCGGCAAGGGGGUCAUCCCGACUUACCAACCCGAUGCAAACUGCGAAUACCGGAGAAUGUUAUCACGGGAGACACACGGCGGGUGCUAACGUCCGUCGUGAAGAGGGAAACAACCCAGACCGCCAGCUAAGGUCCCAAAGUCAUGGUUAAGUGGGAAACGAUGUGGGAAGGCCCAGACAGCCAGGAUGUUGGCUUAGAAGCAGCCAUCAUUUAAAGAAAGCGUAAUAGCUCACUGGUCGAGUCGGCCUGCGCGGAAGAUGUAACGGGGCUAAACCAUGCACCGAAGCUGCGGCAGCGACGCUUAUGCGUUGUUGGGUAGGGGAGCGUUCUGUAAGCCUGUGAAGGUGUGCUGUGAGGCAUGCUGGAGGUAUCAGAAGUGCGAAUGCUGACAUAAGUAACGAUAAAGCGGGUGAAAAGCCCGCUCGCCGGAAGACCAAGGGUUCCUGUCCAACGUUAAUCGGGGCAGGGUGAGUCGACCCCUAAGGCGAGGCCGAAAGGCGUAGUCGAUGGGAAACAGGUUAAUAUUCCUGUACUUGGUGUUACUGCGAAGGGGGGACGGAGAAGGCUAUGUUGGCCGGGCGACGGUUGUCCCGGUUUAAGCGUGUAGGCUGGUUUUCCAGGCAAAUCCGGAAAACCAAGGCUGAGGCGUGAUGACGAGGCACUACGGUGCUGAAGCGACAAAUGCCCUGCUUCCAGGAAAAGCCUCUAAGCAUCAGGUAACAUCAAAUCGUACCCCAAACCGACACAGGUGGUCAGGUAGAGAAUACCAAGGCGCUUGAGAGAACUCGGGUGAAGGAACUAGGCAAAAUGGUGCCGUAACUUCGGGAGAAGGCACGCUGAUAUGUAGGUGAAGCGACUUGCUCGUGGAGCUGAAAUCAGUCGAAGAUACCAGCUGGCUGCAACUGUUUAUUAAAAACACAGCACUGUGCAAACACGAAAGUGGACGUAUACGGUGUGACGCCUGCCCGGUGCCGGAAGGUUAAUUGAUGGGGUUAGCGGUAACGCGAAGCUCUUGAUCGAAGCCCCGGUAAACGGCGGCCGUAACUAUAACGGUCCUAAGGUAGCGAAAUUCCUUGUCGGGUAAGUUCCGACCUGCACGAAUGGCGUAAUGAUGGCCAGGCUGUCUCCACCCGAGACUCAGUGAAAUUGAACUCGCUGUGAAGAUGCAGUGUACCCGCGGCAAGACGGAAAGACCCCGUGAACCU
rnacentral:rRNA from 1 species